UUCUUGAUUUUACCACUUGUCCUACUUAUUUCAGUCAGAUUUAAUUGAGAAAGAUAAAACACCAUGUAGAAAUAGUUGACUUUUCUUUUGUUAACACCUCAGCAUGUUUUUGUUUUGCUGGCUUUCUAUGAGUUUGACACCUAACAAGCAGCUCCCUUAAUUUAUGCCAUACCAAGCCUUAGCCACCGAUUCCUCUUUGUUGCUAUUUUAGUUCUAUAGUUAAAAUAGAAGGAUAGAGAGAAAGAGGGCUAGAGAAGAUAAUAUUCUCAGUUGUGAAUC
rnacentral:lncRNA from 1 species